rnacentral:sRNA from 1 species
GUUUUCUCCAAAUAUUGAAGACUUUGUUUACAUCACAGACAAUGCUUAUACCAGUUCCCAAAUCCGAGAAAUGGAAACUCUAAUUUUGAAAGAAUUGAAAUUUGAGUUGGGUCGACCCUUGCCACUACACUUCUUAAGGCGAGCAUCAAAAGCCGGGGAGGUUGAUGUUGAACAGCACACUUUAGCCAAAUAUUUGAUGGAGCUGACUCUCAUCGACUACGAUAUGGUGCAUUAUCAUCCUUCUAAGGUAGCAGCAGCUGCUUCCUGCUUGUCUCAGAAGGUUCUAGGACAAGGCAAAUGGAACUUAAAGCAGCAGUAUUACACGGGAUACACAGAGAAUGAAGUAUUGGAAGUCAUGCAACACAUGGCCAAGAAUGUGGUGAAAGUAAAUGAAAACUUAACUAAAUUCAUCGUAAGUACUAUUGUUUUCUUAAGCUGUGGAAAGCUUUAGGUUCUGGGUUUUGUGUGUAUGUGGGGUGUGUGUGUGUGCUGUCAUGUAAAUAUAUUAAUAACGUGGGAGUUUUAGCACAAAUCCUUUAUCCUUUAUAUUUUUCUGGUACAGUAUG